rnacentral:rRNA from 1 species
GUAGGUGACAAGCGUUGUCCGGAUUUACUGGGCGUAAAGAGCGCGCAGGCGGUCGAUCAAGUCGAGUGUGAAAGCCCCCGGCUCAACUGGGGAGGGUCAUUCGAAACUGGUCGACUCGAAGGCAGGAGAGGGUAGUGGAAUUCCCGGUGUAGUGGUGAAAUGCGUAGAUAUCGGGAGGAACACCAGUGGCGAAGGCGACUACCUGGCCUGUUCUUGACGCUGAGGCGCGAAAGCUAGGGGAGCAAACGGGAUUAGAUACCCCGGUAGUCCUAGCCGUAAACGAUGGACACUAGGUGUUGGUGGUAUCAACCCCGCCAGUGCCGAAGCUAACGCAUUAAGUGUCCCGCCUGGGGAGUACGGCCGCAAGGC